CUAGUAUUCUUGCCUGGAGAAUCCCAUGGACAGAGGAGGCUGGUGGGAUACUGUCCAUAGGGUCACAAAGAGUCCAACACAACUGAAGCAACUUAGCGCAUACGCACAUCCCUCGGGUACACAGACCUGGUAGUUACUGACGUCUGUUUCCCUCCUCGUAUGCUGUCACAUUUGUUAAUGUCAGAUGACAGAGAGAGUAGAGCAUCUAUCUCCUUAUAUUUAAGAACAUCUGACAGUAUGUUAUUUCUAGGUAUUGAGGGACACACUUUUCCAGGGGCAAAGGGAGAAAGAACAAUUUGCUGUCAACUGUGGCACUCCUGUCUCCAUCUCCAGUUAAUUGAGUCUUUGUCCCGCUUUGCCAAUCCCUUCCCUUCUAUCCACACUGAAGGAAAAGUAGAAAUUGACACUGGGCUUGCUGAAACAAAAGCUACAGCCCUGGGUAAUGCAAGAAGUGAGUCACAGAGUGUCCACUUUACCUCCUGGGAGCCCCAGUGUCAGGGAAAGGUGAGGAGAGUUGACCCAUUCACAAUGAUGUUGGAAAAACAAAAUUUGAAAGUACAAACCAGCAUCCAAUUUAUUGCCUUGUCCUUUGUUCUCUUUUAGGGAAACCAGCUGCUUUCAUUCAAAGACAAUCUGAAAUGGUCAACUGUGGGAGUCACCAAAGUCCUCUUUCUCCCCUCCUAACCAUACCUUCAUGGAGACCAGCUAAGGCCUAGACCGCAGACAUUUUGCUGGAUAACCGAGCUGCUGGGAAUUGACGACAUGAAAACAUGCAUUCAUGUACCAACAAAGCAAUAAGCAGAAAGGAAUCUAACCCUAAGAAGCAAAGUUAAUCCCGAAGCUCAAGCAAUGGCAACUAAGAGGACCCAGAGUGAACAGUACACAUUUGUGCUGUGGAUAAAGGUGUCUGUGAAUCAAGCAAGCAAG
ensembl:lncRNA